GCCACUUCACAUUCUGUUUGUCGACAUUGGCCAAACUUUUUGGGCUUUUCAAAUUGGUUUCUGACCCAUUUAAAAUCUAUGUUAAGCCUUCUUCGUCAGUUGUGUCUCGAUGAAACAGAUAUACCCACGUUUUCAUCUUCCUCAAUCGUCUCAACGAUUCUCCUACGUCAGCAACAAUAUUCAACCAAUAAAUACUCUCAAAACCCACGUCACCAAUCAAGCUUCCCUAAUAGACUGACUUUUUAUUUCUCUCCUCAUACUAAACGUUUUUACAAACGAUGAUCCUCUCAUCUCCCACACCUUCCUCCAUCUCUCAUAAUUAUAUAUUGAUUCAGUCCGCAAUCUCACUAACUAUAGAUCGAUUCGAUUGUUUGGUUCACUUUCGUCACCUCCAACUUCAGUGCGAAAUACAAUUUUCCAGUUUUAAAAUACAACCAAUCAUAUGCUCUUAUUUUGCCACUUCACAUUCUGUUUGUCGACAUUGGCCAAACUUUUUGGGCUUUUCAAAUUGGUUUCUGACCCAUUUAAAAUCUAUGUUAAGCCUUCUUCGUCAGUUGUGUCUCGAUGAAACAGAUAUACCCACGUUUUCAUCUUCCUCAAUCGUCUCAACGAUUCUCCUACGUCAGCAACAAUAUUCAACCAAUAAAUACUCUCAAAACCCACGUCACCAAUCAAGCUUCCCUAAUAGACUGACUUUUUAUUUCUCUCCUCAUACUAAACGUUUUUACAAACGAUGAUCCUCUCAUCUCCCACACCUUCCUCCAUCUCUCAUAAUUAUAUAUUGAUUCAGUCCGCAAUCUCACUAACUAUAGAUCGAUUCGAUUGUUUGGUUCACUUUCGUCACCUCCAACUUCAGUGCGAAAUACAAUUUUCCAGUUUUAAAAUACAAUUCAACUCGGGAGCAAUCCGGGUAUCAUUGGUUCUUAACCGAUGACCAAAUCAGAACCAGAGUUGAAAGCAAGAGAUAUUUUGGUAUGGCCUUGAAGACGACAGUGCCUGCGAACGCAACGGCUGCCCAAACUCGGAAGAAGCCUAUAUGACCUAAAGGAGGCACUGAGAUAGUACAACUUUAUCCUGAUUCCUGAGUAUGGACACUAGAGUGAUGCAGAUGAAAGUAACUCCUCAGAUAUUGAUUUCUUUGAAUAUACUGAGGCUGUGAAGUUACAUGGGAUCCAAAUGUGUCGGCUGGCCAGGUUAUUUAUCUAUUUAGUGUGUUUUAGACCUAAAUUUCUCUUUGUUCACCGUAGAAAUCCAAUAUGUAGCCCAAGUAAUUUUUUUGCCUUCCCUUCUCCACAGAUUUCUUCUUUUUUUUUCUCUUAACUAAAAAGCUAACGUCAACCUUCAUGUUAGUAUAACUUUUUCUCCACUUUAAUUCUUCAAAACUCUCUUUAUUUCAGUACCUUUCAGUUCUCCCAUCUCCACCAUCUAUAUAUGACUCGCCUCAUUUAGACAGAACCCCUAUCACGAACCACUCGAUUCUCCUUUUAUUAAUCAGGUGUUGGCUUACGCACACCAGUCUUACAAAAGAAGUGAUCAAAUAACUUACUACUCAAGUAAUUUCAAAGCAAAAAGAAAAAUAGCCAUUGGAGAAAUGCUGCAUUGUUCAAGAGGAAUCUGGUUGUUGGAGUUGACAUAUUUCUCUCAAAUGUUAUCCAUGUCCAUAGCGCCACUAUAAAAUAGGCCCCGCAAGUUUACUCUGAAGCUGACACACUGAGGAACCUAAAAUCAAGACUUGCAAAGGGACUGAUAAUCAAGUGCACUAAAUGCAAUCUGAAAGGGGAUGCCUUUGUCUGCUAUAUCAAGUCUUGCCGGUGGGAUUAUAAUUCCUGCUGAGGUUUGUUCAUUGGAUCGUACAAAAUAUCUUUUUCUCUGUGGAUAUGCACUAUCACAGAAUGAGAAGGUUAGUAAUUAGUAAUAAGCAUCUCUUCUUACCACAAGACAACCAAGAAACCCCAUCCUAUGUGGAUAUAUCAUACCUACUUUGCUUAAAAAAAACUUAUCUUCGCAUUUCAUUGCUUUCCCCCAGUGCCUGAUGGAAUAAUCCAUAUCAAGGUACUGGAACCCAAGUGUUACACAUGUGCUUGCUUCUAAGGAUGUGAAAGGAGCGUGUACAAGAACUGUGAAUGUUAUUAUGGAUAUUCUCAAUGGAAAAGGGAUUAUAAUUGCAUACUGUAAGUUAGAUUGGUCACUCAAGAUUUCAAAUGCUCUUUACUUUUGCCAGUAAUAAAUCUUUGCCUUCACAUGGAUAAACUUUAACUCUUUCCAAGGAUGAAAGCAAGUCUCAAAGCUUCUCAAAGCUAUUGAUGAAGAACCAUUUGAUAUUCAUGUUGCCACUCAAAGAUCUCAAAAUGGACCAAAAACUGCAAAACUCAAAGUAGCAACUAAUGUGUCAGUAUUUAUAAACACACCCAAUGAAAAAGAACCUCAAAUUUGUAAGAAUUUUUAAUGAGUCGCACACUUGCACUGUUAAAUUCUGUUUUGCAACAGUUCAGUUGCUAUGUUUCGACUGAGUUGGUUUUAUUGGGUAUUCUCACCUCUAAAGAGAUUUUUGCAGAACCUAGCCUCGAAAGAUCAGAUAACAGUGUAUGGCUUCAUCAUCGAGCAUCAUGUUGUACCAGGCAACAUGAUCCAGCUAACUUCGCAUUACCUCAGCAGGCCGAAGUCGUCAGGCUUACGUAGUGAUGCAAGCAUGUGUUUCAGCCAACAUGAUUCAGCUAAAUUAAUCGGGGAUAUCAUGUUGCAUCAUCAUUUUGGAGAAUUUCGUACUAACGAAGUCGUCAAGAUUAUGUAGGGAUGUGUGCAUGUGUUUCAAGUAGAGUGUAUAAACAGUAGAAGUGAUACAAGUGAUUUCUUAAUAAUUUUAACCUCACUAGCUUA